CAUCUCUCAACCGGGAUUCCAAUAGUUAAAACAUAAAUGCCUGAUGAGGUUGGAGAAUACAUGACAAGGGAUCUGAGACCGUUCCUCCAUACAGAAUCUCUCCAGAUCCUUCAAAUCUCAUGGUCCAUGCUGGUGGACUCUCCUCUUCAGUUCACCCCACAGGUAUUCUAAGGGUUUCGAGUCAGGGGACUGGGAUGGCCAUGGCAGGACCUUGAUUUUGUGGUCAGUAAACCAUUUUUGUGUUUAUUUUGUGUAUGUUUUGGAUCAUUGUCCUGCUGGAAGAUCCAACCACGGCCCAUUUUAAUCUUUCUGGCAGAGGCAGUCAGGUUUUCAUUUAAUAUCUGUUGAUAUUUGAUAGAGUCCAUGAUGCCAUGUAUCCUAACAAAAUCUGGCAGAAAAACAGCCCAAAACAUUAAAGAACCACCACCAUAUUUAACCGUGGCCAUGAGGUACUUUCCACAUGGCUACCUCUCUGUGUGCGCCAAAACUACCUCUGGUGUUUAUUGCCAAAAAGCUCUAUUCUGGUUUCAUCUGACCAUAGAACCCGAUCCCAUUUGAAGUUCCAGUAGUGUCUUGACAAACUGAAGUGAGUUUGUUUUUGGAUGAGAGUAGAGGCGUUUUUCUUGAAACCCUUCCAAACAACUUGUGGUGAUGUACAGUUGCAAUCAAAAGUAUUCAGCCCCCAUUGGAAAUAAGGUUUAUUGUUUAUUUAUUCAUUGUGUUGAACUAUUUAACUAUUUGUUUUAUUUGUUCAUAGCAAACAGCUGAAAGUCUGUAAAUUUUGAAAAUAAACCCGAUUUGCAGUGGGCUUUGAAUAAUUUUGAUUGCAAUUGUAGGUGACAUCAGAUUGUAGUUUUGGAGACUUUCUGACCCUAAGACACAACUAACUUCUGCAAUUCUCCAGCUGUGAUCCUUGCAGAGUUUUUGGCACUCGAACCGUCCUCUUCACAGUGCGUUGAGACAAUAUAGACACAGGUCUAAUUCCCGGUUGAUUCAUAACAUUUCCAGUUGACUGGAACUUGUUAAUGAUUGACCCGAUGGUGGAAAUGGACAUUUUCAAUGCUUCUGCUAUUUUCUUAUAGCCACUUGCCAUUUUGUGAAGCUCAAAAACCUUUUGCCGCACAUCACAGCUAUAGUCCUUGGUCUUACCCAUUGUUAUGAAUGACUAAGGGAAUUUGGCCUAUGUGCUACCUCAUAUUUAUAGCCCUGUAAACAAGAAGUCAUGGUUGAAGUCAUUGUCCUGUUCCUAGUCACCCAGGUGUACUAAAAAAUGUUAAAUAUCAAUGGGAAUAUACUUCAAAUCAAUUUUUCUCAUAUUAUUUCAUAGGGAUGCUGAUAAUUGUUGCACACCAAUAUUUAAGAAUUAUUGUUAUUUUUUAGAAACCUGUGUUGUGUUUGCAAUUGCUUGAUCUCCAUGAGAGAAUUUUUGUGGAUUUUUUUGAACAAUCAAAUGGUUAAACAAGAAAGACAAUUUUUCACAGGCUUCUUUGCUUAGUGGAGGGCACUGUAUAUUACCUUUUCCGCAGUUCCCUAAUCCUCCAGAUUUUGGGCUUUCAUGUGCCGUUAUGGUGUAAAUAAUUUUUAUUUUUUUUACUGGCAAAACAACUUUCACUUCUGAGAAAGUCUCUUUCAGGUCUGGUGGUAUCAUCAAAUCCCUAUCAGCUGUGCCAUGUACACAUCUGCUAAUUUACAGAUGAUUGGCAUUCAACAACAGCAACACGUGAGUAUGAAGCAAAUCAGCGUUUACGAAACGUUUGUAAAUCUGGCCGAAAUCUCUAGUUCAGCUUGGCUUAUGCAAACAUUUAAACAAGACUUUACUAAAAGACUGAUGAAGGUGAACACAGGACAGCACUAUCUAGCACUAACUAGUUCAAGAACUGGGUGCAAAAUAUAACAUGCACAUUAAAAUAAAAUCAAAUGAUCAUUUUAGUCUGUGUAUGUUUGAAGGUAAACAUGUUCACAACUCUCCAACAGUAAAUUAAAUGAAGUUUAAAUACAGUUGAUAUUUGUAUAGUUUAUUUACAUUAGAAUACAAUCCCAUCCUAUAAAUACAAUCUUCUUAAACAUGCCUCAAAACAUGGCAUGCUUAGUUCAACUAAAUCCUUACAUUACUUCAAAAUCUUUCCUCACAAUCGGCUUUGUUGAAUUCAGUUUUUUUCAUACUGAAUUCUUUUAUCAAUGUUAGCAAAAUAAAAUCAUGCAAAGCAAAACUAUAAUGUAUGAAAAUUCAGCUGAUAUUAAUGUGGUGUGAUUACAGUGAUCUGUUCUUGUAUGGAGCAAAGAUAACAUUCAUAAUGGCAGG